AGUUACCAGGCCUGGUUCAAGCCCUGUAUCCCACCCUCAACGGGAAGCCAACAGAAGUGACCUCAAAUGAAAAUCCUGUGAAAGAAUAGUAAAGAAAAAGGACGUAGGGCCAUCUCAAGAGGGCUGAUUUGGAAUCAAAGAAUUAAGAGAAGGAAGGCAGUACGUUUGGAUCUGGAAUGUCCUCAGAGCCUAUAUGUGAAAGGCUGAGUCCCCAGCCUGGAGCUAUUAGGACACAGAAAAUGACAGUCCAAUAUAAUCUUGGUGUGAAGAACUUCAGUUCUGUUUUGAUUUGUGCUGAACACACAUUUCCUCACUGGAGUCUGCCUUCUAAAGAAUGUCUCCAAUGCAUUGAAGACUUGAUUCUACUACUGAGAUAUGUUCUCCUCAUGUUUGACACUCUACUCAUUUUCUCUUCCAUGCCUGGAAAAUGGAAUCAACACAGAUGCCUAUCAAUUG
rnacentral:lncRNA from 1 species